UGCCAGCCGCCGCGGUAAUACGGAGGGAGCUAGCGUUGUUCGGAAUUACUGGGCGUAAAGCGUAUGUAGGCGGACUUGAAAGUCGGGAGUGAAAUCCCAGGGCUCAACCCUGGAAUUGCUUCCGAAACUCCAAGUCUAGUGUCCCGGAGGGGUUGACGGAAUUCCUAGUGUAGAGGUGAAAUUCGCAGAUAUUAGGAGGAACACCAGUGGCGUAGGCGGUCAACUGGACGGGUACAGACGCUGAGAUACGACAGCGUGGGGAGCAAACAGGAUUAGAUA
rnacentral:rRNA from 1 species